AAAGUGGAUAACGCCUGCGGAAAGCAUAAGAAUGAUAUUCUCAUGCUGCAGAAAAAGGAAGAGAGGGAAAGAGACUAUCAUCAGGAAAACUGAAAGGAAGAUGCCUCUGUAGCAUGCACAUGCCGCCAGGAAGCAUGAGGUUUAGCCCAGAGGGCUCACAAAUAAAAGGAACUUCCAGACUACGUGUUGGCAUCAAGAUGAGUGACAUGCCCACUGCAGCAGCUAGCCACGCCUCGGUCUGGCCCUUCCUCCAACCUCUGCUAACCUAAAAACCAGCGCCAGGCUGGCAGCGGGCCAUAUAUUCAAAAGUAAACAUUGUUCUCCUG
rnacentral:lncRNA from 7 species